UACAGAGGGUGCAAGCGUUGUUCGGAAUUACUGGGCGUAAAGCGCGUGUAGGUGGCGAUGUAAGUCGGGUGUGAAAUCCCUCAGCUUAACUGAGGAAGUGCACUCGAUACUGCGUAGCUUGAGUCUCGGAGAGGUUGGUGGAGUUCUCGGUGUAGAGGUGAAAUUCGUAGAUAUCGAGAGGAACACCGGUGGCGAAGGCGGCCAACUGGACGAAGACUGACGCUGAGACACGAAAGCGUGGGGAGCAAACAGG
rnacentral:rRNA from 1 species